AUUCGUGAAAUCUUUGUGACGUACGAACCUCAAAUUGUUG
rnacentral:sRNA from 1 species